rnacentral:rRNA from 1 species
UACGUAGGGGUGCAAGCGUUGUCCGGAAUUAUUGGGCGUAAAGAGCUUGUAGGCGGUUUGUCGCGUCUGCUGUGAAAUUUCGGGGCUCAACCCCCGAACUUGCAGUGGGUACGGGCAGACUAGAGUGUGGUAGGGGAGACUGGAAUUCCUGGUGUAGCGGUGAAAUGCGCAGAUAUCAGGAGGAACACCGAUGGCGAAGGCAGGUCUCUGGGCCACUACUGACGCUGAGAAGCGAAAGCAUGGGGAGCGAACAGG